rnacentral:tRNA from 1 species
GGCGGCGUAGCUUAGCUGGUUAUAGCGUGCGGUUCAUACCCGCAAGGUCGCUGGUUCGAGUCCAGCCGCCGCUACCA